UAGCGCAGUUCUAAGUUAUGCUGACUGAGUUUCUCAGACUCAACUCUUGGGAUCUUGUGUCCUGGGUUGCAAUCUGUGUCAGUUACGCAUGUGCUGCCGCUCUUUACGGCAGUACAAACUGAUCAUCUU
rnacentral:misc_RNA from 1 species